GACAGAGGGUGCAAACGUUGUUCGGAAUUACUGGGCGUAAAGCGCGUGUAGGCGGCAGGGCAAGUCGGAUGUGAAAACCCACGGCUCAACCGUGGAAGUGCACCCGAUACUGCUCCGCUAGAGUCUCGGAGAGGAAGGUGGAAUGCUUGGUGUAGAGGUGAAAUUCGUAGAUAUCAAGCAGAACACCGGUGGCGAAGGCGGCCUUCUGGACGAUGACUGACGCUGAGACGCGAAAGCGUGGGGAGCAAACAGG
rnacentral:rRNA from 1 species